AAAAGAGGGCAGAAAGGAGGACCUAGGGAACUACUGACUCAUCAUCCUCACCUCAGUCCCUGGGAAGGUGAUGGAGUGCCUCA